ensembl:lncRNA
CACACUUAUAAGUAUAUCAGGGGUGGUUGGUGGCAUGCUGGUUAAAGUUCAGGGCUCAUAAUCAAAACAUUUCUGGUUUGAUUCUCACAGCUGUUACAGUUGUGCCUAUGAACAAGACAUUUAACCCUGGGUUGUUUCAGGGGGGACUGUACUGUGAUAUCUGGGACAUCACUCUUCCACUCACGCUCCCUCAGUCUACUAAUGAGACUUGUCAUCAAGAUUGUGAGUGUCAGAUGUGGCUGUGUUCGACACUGAAGAAAGUGUUUAUCAAGGACGAGAGACACACUCAGAGGUUGCACUGAACAAUUCGUUAAUGAAUUGGACCGAUCCAACUGCAUUUAAUACUUCAGUCAAAAUGAGUCAAGAAUUGGGAUAUAUAGUUUAUUGAAGUUUAAAGUUUUAGCCUGACUAGUCCUGGCUAGAAUAAAUAAUAAACAUAAUAUUAAAGGCAAAUAUGUAACUUUUACAUAUUAAA